rnacentral:rRNA from 1 species
UCCAGAGGGUGCUAGCGUUGUUCGGAAUCAUUGGGCGUAAAGGGCGUGUAGGCGGCCAGGUAGGUCUGCUGUGAAAACUCGAGGCUCAACCUCGAGACGUCGGCGGAAACCAUCUGGCUAGAGUCCGGAAGAGGAGAGUGGAAUUCCUGGUGUAGCGGUGAAAUGCGCAGAUAUCAGGAAGAACACCCGUGGCGAAGGCGGCUCUCUGGGACGGUACUGACGCUGAGACGCGAAAGCGUGGGGAGCGAACAGG